AAUCUUGGCAUGGAUCCCAUGGGCGACACGUUCUAAAGUUACAAAGCCAUACCUGCGGCAGAGCGGGGGGAGCCCGGAAAGAAAACCACCAUAAGGGCCUGAUGCGGAAAUCCUCCUCUUCUCAGGGAGGGAAACCUGGAGAAAGGGUUUGCAGCUUAAGUUCCCUUCACCCGAAAGAACAGCUACAGAGGUGAAGGAUGCCGGUGAACCUGCAGGGCUGAUGAGAGUAUUUCCAGAACAUCAGGAUGAAGCAUGAACAGACACUCACUUUUAAGCCUCUGCUCUGUGGGGCUUUGAGAACUUCGCCUUACUUCCCGAAGCCACCGAAGAAGGACAAACGUACUGCUUGUCUCCAGCUUUGAAACACCCAGCAGAGCAACUUAAAGAAGGAAGAACUCAGUUCUGCCCACAGUUUGGAGGUAUGUCCCACCAUGGUGGGGAAGAUGGAGUAACAGUGGCUCGGGCUGUGGCAGCAGGAGCAUCCAGCCAUCACACUGCACCCAGAGUCAGGAAGCAGGGAGAGACAAACGCUGGCUCUCACCUCACUUGACCCUUUCGAUACGGACUAAAUUUGCAUAUUAUUGUCCAGUCAAUUCUGCUGGCCUGCCCUCGGCCCAGCAAUUGCUUGUCACUACCUGCGGCCAACACCAGGUGCACCCUGAUGUGUUCCUGGCUGAUCUCUCUCUCCCCUUUUCUGUCCUUCUCUGUCCCACCGCCCCCUUCUCUGCCCUCAUGGCUUUACUCCCAUUUGUCUGCCUGUCUACCUGGCUCACUUGAUGCCUUUACUCCUCUCCCUUCCCCCAAUAAACCUCCUUUAUACCUGA